UCCAUUGAUGGAGCAGCUUUGUAU
rnacentral:siRNA from 1 species